ACGGAAGGAAAAAAAAAAAAAGAUUAAUUUGCAGGUUAGGUAGCAUUGAAACAUGGAAGGGAUUGAGAAUCGAAGAGGUUAACACAAACCUUUCAUCUUGUCCAUAACAUGUACAGUUUCAGCCUUCGCAGGGGUCUUCAGCUCACGAUCGGUAACAAGUUCAACUCCCAGCAUGAAUCCUCUUCCUCUCACAUCGCCAAUAACUACAUACGCAACCAUCACCGGAAGUUGAGAUAAAGCAAUUAGUUUAUAAGAUCUAUUGUAAUUAUAAAGGAAAUAAUUGCCUGUCAUGACUCCAUGGAUACUGAUGUACAAGUGAAUGCUUACGUUCAUAUUUAUUCUUAAGAGCAUUGAGUCUUUCUUUCAGAUACGAUCCCACAACCAACGCAUUCUCCUGCAGUUUUUCUUUCUCAAUCACUUUUAGAACCGCCAGUCCUGCAGCUGUACACACUGGAUUGCCACCAAAG
rnacentral:lncRNA from 1 species